GGAUUUAACUUCCCAAUCUGCCAGCUAAUUUAUAAAUCGUUAGCGAAGCGAAUUCGAAAACUUCGUGAUGUUCUAGCCCAUUUAGUUAGUAUGUAAUGAAAUCUAGCUAUGAUGGAUGGAUCCAAACUUACAGUUUUAAUGGUUAAUGAAGGUGCCUACUGAUAUCACACACGUUGAACUGUCUUAUAUAUUAGUAAUAAGGGCCUUACAAAAGCCGAACGGUAUUACAAAGAACAAUGUUUAAAUUUUGCAAUAAAAGGGAAGGCUAUUAACACGAGUGAGCGAGCUCGCUUAUCAGUGCAAAUUCUAACAUUCCCGAAUGCCGAUUCUUGAGGCGCCUGCGCUGCCACCAAGAACUACGGGCGCAAACCGAAAAGAUUCUCGCUUCUCUCAUGGCCAAAAAUACUGAAUUUUGAAACGGGCGAGGCGGCCUUCCCCGACAAUGGCAUAAUCGGCCGGGGCCAGGCACUCAGAAACUUACUUUAUUAUUAUAUCAUAUUUUAAAUGAAUAACGUAAACUAUAUUCCGCUCGAAGGCUCGGAAUAUCACGAUAAGCUUGAAAGUUUUGUAAUGUCGUAGAU